rnacentral:rRNA from 1 species
GAUGAACGCUGGCGGCGUGCCUAAUACAUGCAAGUCGAGCGAACGGACGAGAAGCUUGCUUCUCUGAUGUUAGCGGCGGACGGGUGAGUAACACGUGGAUAACCUACCUAUAAGACUGGGAUAACUUCGGGAAACCGGAGCUAAUACCGGAUAAUAUUUUGAACCGCAUGGUUCAAAAGUGAAAGACGGUCUUGCUGUCACUUAUAGAUGGAUCCGCGCUGCAUUAGCUAGUUGGUAAGGUAACGGCUUACCAAGGCAACGAUGCAUAGCCGACCUGAGAGGGUGAUCGGCCACACUGGAACUGAGACACGGUCCAGACUCCUACGGGAGGCAGCAGUAGGGAAUCUUCCGCAAUGGGCGAAGGCCUGACGGAGCAACGCCGCGUGAGUGAUGAAGGUCUUCGGAUCGUAAAACUCUGUUAUUAGGGAAGAACAUAUGUGUAAGUAACUGUGCACAUCUUGACGGUACCUAUUCAGAAAGCCACGGCUAACUACGUG